AAGUAUCGAGCCAGCCUAAAAGCUGCAGUUCUCAGGGCAAAAGCAUGUUCUUGAGCUUUAUUUGAAGGGUAUGAUGUUUGCAUAUCAGCUCACGCUCAACCACCACCUAAAACUCUAUCCCUGAUAGUCAAGUCAACCGGUGGAAAUGUGAUUCAUGAGCUAGAUAAAGUAAACAACGUAUGGAAGACGAUCUUUGUGGCUUGUGAGGAAGACGUGGAGGAAGCCUUGGUGGCCGUACAAAAAGGGAUAUGGACUUUCAACGUUGAAUGGCUAAUGGCAUGUAUAAUGAGACCAGAAGUUGACCUGGAGGCCCCUCAAUUUGCUGAGUCCCUAUGAGAAACAAGGUCACCCUAACUUUCAGUUUUGAACAAGCAGCAGCCAGCCAUUUCGUCCUUGUGUAAAUCCACUCUUUUCUCAACUCACUCUAAUUUGGUACAUAAACAAACUCUGAUCGCUCCAUCUCUAUAUUCAUCAGUACAUAAAAGACGAUAAGUUUAUUCAUGGAGAAAGUUGGAUGUAAGUAUGUUUUAGGAAUGGUCCUUCAUUUAGUAACUUUGGGAAUUGUAAAAAUGAGGUAAUGAAGUUCUAUCAAGUUGAAUGUUCUUGUUUAUGUUGGAUGAGACUGAUUCUUGGAUACCAGAAUUAACUUGAAGUACGUGUUUGAGUU